UUGGCUCUCGCAUCGAUGAAGAACGCAGCGAAAUGCGAUAAGUAAUGUGAAUUGCAGAAUUCAGUGAAUCAUCGAAUCUUUGAACGCACCUUGCGCUCCUUGGUAUUCCGAGGAGCAUGCCUGUUUGAGUGUCAUUAAAUUCUCAACCUUUAUCAMY
rnacentral:rRNA from 1 species